CGUCAUUACAUUCAAGAUGGCAGCGUCCAUCAAUAAAGCGGAAUGAUGUCGGUCAUUACGCCCUUGAUUUCAACUGCUUCAAUUUAAGUGAUGGUUCAAAUGCUGGUGCUGUAGUGGCAUCUGUGAUACAUUAAAUAACAUGAAGCCGCAAAAUCUGACGUGGUGGAACGCCCGCGUGUCGCUGUUGUACGCUGUGGGCAUUUGGACCAUGUUUGGCACUUACGCUUAUUACCAAACGUAUGUAUGGCCACGUAAAAAGGACGAGCCACAAAACACCAAUGAAUUCGCUGCGCGUGAGGAGGAACUGAAGGAUUAUGCAACAGAAUAUGACACAGUUAAAGAGGACAAGAAAUCAAAAGAACCAGUUGUUAGAAGCACUAUUGUUUACAGGGAAAAUUUUAUUCCUUACUCUACAAGAGCUAUCCGUUUUCUUAAAUCUUUCGUUGGAAGUGAAACAAAUGCACCAGAAAGCCAAACAAAUGAAAAAUGACUUGGCACGUCUUUGAGUUUUAAGACAUCCAGAUCCCCUACAGAGACACCAUAGGCUGCUACUUGGAGAUCACGGACAGAGUACGUGUUGAAGGUUCAGCCACCACCGUGGAAUGGCAGUAUGGUCUUUGACACUUUUAUGCUUUGCAGCUUAGGUUGUCUACAUCAUCAGACUCUGGAGGUUGGGCAUGUACAAAGAUAGGUUUGAGGUCUAAAUUUAAUUGUUCUUUCAGUUCAGUAAGGGUCUUCCUAUACUCGAAAAUGAUUUUUUUUUUUUGAGAACAUUCUGUAGUUUAAGAAUAUAAAGGUGUUUAUAAUUAUUUUAACAACUGAAGUUGCUGUAAUACAAAGAGAAACUUUAAACUUUAACUCA